rnacentral:rRNA from 1 species
CCCUUAGAUGUCCGGGGCCGCACGCGCGCUACACUGAAGGAAUCAGCGUGGCUCUGUCCCUGGUCCGAAAGGAUUGGGAAACCCGUUGAAUCUCCUUCGUGAUAGGGAUUGGGGCUUGGAACUGUUCCCCAUGAACGAGGAAUUCCUAGUAAACGCAAGUCAUCAGCUUGCAUUGAUUACGUCCCUGCCCUUUGUACACACCGCCCGUCGCACCUACCGAUUGAAUGGUCCGGUGAAAUCUCGGGACGGCGGCUUGGUCGCUUGCGUCCGACUGCUGAAACUUGAUUAAACCAUAUCAUUUAGAGGAAGGUGAAGUCGUAACA